AUUGAACGCUGGCGGCAUGCCUUACACAUGCAAGUCGAACGGUAACGCGGGGCAACCUGGCGACGAGUGGCGAACGGGUGAGUAACGCAUCGGAACGUGCCCAGUAGUGGGGGAUAGCCCGGCGAAAGCCGGAUUAAUACCGCAUACGACCUACGGGUGAAAGAGGGGGAUCGCAAGACCUUUCGCUAUUGGAGCGGCCGAUGUCAGAUUAGGUAGUUGGUGGGGUAAAGGCCUACCAAGCCUACGAUCUGUAGCUGGUCUGAGGGGACGACCAGCCACACUGGGACUGAGACACGGCCCAGACUCCUACGGGAGGCAGCAGUGGGGAAUCUUGGACAAUGGGCGCAAGCCUAAUCCAGCCAUGCCGCGUGCGGGAAGAAGGCCUUCGGGUUGUAAACCGCUUUUGUCAGGGAAGAAACGCUCUGGACUAAUACUCUGGGGUAAUGACGGUACCUGAAGAAUAAGCACCGGCUAACUACGUGCCAGCAGCCGCCGUAAAAC
rnacentral:rRNA from 1 species